rnacentral:rRNA from 1 species
UACGGAGGGGGCUAGCGUUGUUCGGAAUUACUGGGCGUAAAGCGCGCGUAGGCGGACCUGCAAGUCGGGGGUGAAAGCCCGAGGCUCAACCUCGGAACUUCCUUCGAUACUGCGGGUCUCGAGUCCGGGAGAGGUGAGUGGAAUUCCUAGUGUAGAGGUGAAAUUCGUAGAUAUUAGGAAGAACACCAGUGGCGAAGGCGGCUCACUGGCCCGGUACUGACGCUGAGGCGCGAAAGCGUGGGGAGCAAACAGG